rnacentral:rRNA from 1 species
AUUGAACGCUGGCGGCAGGCCCAACACAUGCAAGUCGAGCGGGGUUUUCGGACCUAGCGGCGGACGGGUGAGUAAUGCGUAGGAAGCUACCCGACAGAGGGGGAUACCAGUUGGAAACGACUGUUAAUACCGCAUAAUGUCUACGGACCAAAGUGUGGGACCUUCGGGCCACAUGCUAUCGGAUGCGCCUACGUGGGAUUAGCUAGUUGGUGAGGUAAUGGCUCACCAAGGCGACGAUCCCUAGCUGGUUUGAGAGGAUGAUCAGCCACACUGGAACUGAGACACGGUCCAGACUCCUACGGGAGGCAGCAGUGGGGAAUAUUGGACAAUGGGCGCAAGCCUGAUCCAGCCAUGCCGCGUGUGUGAAGAAGGCCUUCGGGUUGUAAAGCACUUUCAGUAGGGAGGAAGCGUUGUGUGUUAAUAGUACACAGCGUUGACGUUACCUACAGAAGAAGCACCGGCUAACUCUGUGCCAGCAGCCGCCGCCGUAA